rnacentral:lncRNA from 1 species
GGACAAGAGGCCAUAUGCAGUUUUCCCCUUGGCUGAUCUUUUCUUCUUGUGGCUUAUUCCACAAACAAGAUGCAGAAUGGCAUAUACAGAACCCUGCAACGGCCCAGCCUCAUCACAAGAGAGGAACAGACCAUAGAGGGGUGGGGCAGAAAGAGGAAUGAUUUUUUUUUAACUGCGCCUUUUAAACUGCGAAGCAGCUAAGCUCCAUAUAUACAGAAGAGCCCCAUGGAAGUCUGGGUGUAUAUAGGGUUAUGUUUUCCAGGUAUGCUAAGUUUCUAGUGCCCAGAUUAGCCAACUGCUAGCUAGAAUAUUUUUCCCACUGUAAUUGCAUUUAAAAGGGGAAAAUACAAAAGGGGAAAAUAAAUUUGAAGAGUUUCAAAUGUAUGGGAUAACAAAGAGAAAAAAUACAGCUCUAUUAAGACCCAAUGAUAGGAGCUGUCUCCAUUGCACAUUUUUAUUCUUUCUCCGAGGUCACCAAUGUCUCAAAUACCAUGUCAAAGGAAGGAGACGGGUAUAUAGGAAAUGUUUUCUCUCAAGUAUGCUAAGUUCCCAGUGCCCAAAUUAGAUGACUUCUUGCUGGAAUAUUGCUCUCAUUGCAAUUGCAUUUAAGGUCACAGGUCAUAUGUUUUGGACAACUGAUAUCAACUGACUGGCUUCCUGGUGCAACUGAACUCUUCCUCUUUUGGGACUCCACGCAGUUACCAUUGUAUCUCUAGCUUGUGACAACUCUUAAGUAAAAUACUGUGUUCUGGGAACACAAUUUUACCAGGGAUAGGAAGUAACAGUUCAAAGGCCAGGGGAUGGCUUAUUUUCUAACCAAUGAUCUUUAAUGCCCUAUUCACUCAAGAUUCUUUACAAGAGGUAUUCAUGGAGACUUGGAAUUGUAUCAAGACAACUGCUGAGGGACAGAAGAACUCCCCAGUUCUACUUAGAUUCUACCUGGACUACAGUCUCUGGAAAAUUCCCAAUCUAUUCAGAAUCCAGAACAUCUCUCACUAAAACUAAUCAAAAUAACAAACUGAGGAGGAUGAAAUAUUGAUUUUAAUUUCCUUGGACUUUCAAAUCACUGUAGCAAGAAAAUACGAUUUUGGACUUGAAUUCAUCUGGAUUUAUUAAGGCUUUAGAUUUUCAUUUCUCCCUAGACAUCUCAUAGGGAAUUGAUACUCACUUUGGAUGCAUCUUUAUAAUUUGGUAUUUUGGUUUUGAAGUAUGGUAAUGCUGUCCUUUAAUCCCACAGCAGGACAUGGGCUAUGUGCCAUCAUCAUCUGUGAUAGAAAAUAGACCAAGGGCGAAUAGAUGGCCUUGAAAACCAAGUGGCCUAGGAGUUAAUUCUAAGGAACUUGUCUGAUCUAUGUUAGAGCCUUCUCAGAGCAAAAUCUUCAUUGCCCACCUGUGGCUCCAGGAUGAUUUCCCAAGAAGCAAGGGAAGCAGGGAGGUGAGAGCAGGCUGAUCCAACAGGCUGCUGCUUUGCUUCUGAGCACUGGGAGAGCCCCGCUCUAGCUUAAUGAACAAAAUCGUUCAUUAAAACUAAUAGAAUAAAAAUAUGGUAACUAAUGGAAAAGGAAUGACUCUUCCUCACUGUUGAUGUUCCCCCUUAAGUGAGGGACCAUCGAUUAGAAUAACAUACCUGGCUUUGUUCUACCUCUUGACUUUUUUAGCGUGAAUCUCACCCUAGACCUAGCAUCAGAAUCUUCUGGAGCUGGGGUCCAGGCACCAGUAUGUUUUAAAAGCUCCCCGGGUGAUUUUAAUGUGUAGGGAGAGCUAAGAACCAAUGAACUAAAUGAUCUCUAAAGAUACUUUCUAACUCUUUUUUUAAAAAAUGCUGUGAUACCACCAGGAGUUAGAGAAAAUGACUUCAAGGCCCUUGGGGCACCCUUUUCUAGCAGCCCCGAGGCUCCAGUGCAUAGUGUGCAAUCAGCCUUCUAAUAGGAGAAAAACAAUACAAGGCUUCAUGUGUUGGUCCCAAAGCUUGCCUAUUCUGGCUGCCCCACCAUGUCACUGCCAUACAAUCAAUGGAAAAAUUGUUCUUUACCAUAACUUGAGAGGGAGAUAAUCAGGAACAAUCUGGCUACACCAUAGGCUAAUCACAAUGACUGAUAUUUCUAGGGCUGCAUUAAUCAAGCCUUCAAGUAGACAGACUCUUACGGUCAGACCAAUUCUAGAAUGAUUCUGCCUCCACUGUGGGAAUCUUUUAUAAACGGAAAUUCUCCAUUCAGCCUUCCCUCUCUCUCUUAAGUGCAAAAUCCCUCCUAAUGGUAGCAUCUGUUGUCUGCGGCAAACAGAGUUGAUUACAGAUGCUCUGAAAGGAAUUUAAGUAUUUUCUCUUGCUACUCAGGAGGUGAUGGUGUGAUGGGAAACAGUAAUUCUUUUUAGAAAAUAAAAAACCUUUGGCUAAACAGUGACUACAAUAAUAAGAAUGGCUUGGUUUCCUGAAGCCUACUUUGCAAUUGUUGAAGUGAUUUGCCCACUCUAGAGAAGGUAUAUGAAGUGGAAAUGGAAUAUGAAGAGAUAUUCGUACAAGGGAACAAGGUGUGUAUUCCUAGCCUUAAUUUUAAGGUUAUAUGUCUGUGAUAUUAAUUUUAUCACAAAAAUGGACAAGUUCAUUUUUCUAAACCUGGAAAGACGCCAGUGGGGUUCUGUCUUAAUUAUGAGGACAGAGAAAAAAAAAACAUUUCACCCAGUGUUUGGUGCUAAGGUCUUAGUUAUGAAUAUAGAGAAAAGACACAUUUUACACAGGCUUUGGAGUUCAUGCAAGGCUGCACGCAAUUGCUUGCCUCAGAGAAUGGAGCAGUGGGAACUUGCUUCUGACCUGGUGGCUCACUGAAGCUCAAACUGGCAAUUUUAUGAAAUUUCCAGCAGCUUUGUAACUGUGUCUAUUAUUUAUGAUUCGGCAUCUUCAAAUUUUUCUACGGUAUACUUAACUUGAGCUGAACACUAAAAAAUGGCAAAGUUCGCAGCUUCAAAUUUUGUAGGGAACAAGCUAUGAAAGCUAUUCCUACUCUCUGUAUCUGCUCUUUAUUUUAGAAAAGAAAUACAAUAUUCUCCAUUCUAGGGGUAGGAUGGAGAGUCAACACAUAAUUCCUUGAUGUAAAACGGACAUUUCUUUUAUUUAAAUUUAAAAUUCGUAUAUUUGAUACUAUCCUUAUAUGUAAAAUAAGUAUCUGGAAUUCAUACCUCUACAAAAAAGCAAGGUAAAAUAGCUUUUAUUCUUCAAGACGCUGCCAUAAGAUACAAACAGUUACGUUUGCUCCAUCACCGUUUUUGUUUGGUAAUUUUUUUCCUCCCAGAUCUUUCCUGAUAGAAUUGUCGUGCAAAAAGGUCUUUUGAAUACUAAGUCAUCAGAAUUGUUUUAAGAAAAAUACAGAUGGAGUCUCACUCUGUUGCCCAGGCUGGGGUGC